rnacentral:piRNA from 1 species
UNGAACCUCACCUACCUGGACCACUGGCAA